UGUCAAGAUAAGCCAUGCAUGUCUAAGUAUAAGCAAUUAUACAGCGAAACUGCGAAUGGCUCAUUAUAUAAGUUAUCGUUUAUUUGAUAGUACCUUACUACUUGGAUAACCGUGGUAAUUCUAGAGCUAAUACAUGCUAAAAAUCCCGACUUCGGAAGGGAUGUAUUUAUUAAAUUAAAAACCAAUGCCCUUCGGGGCUCACUGGUGAUUCAUGAUAACUCCUCGAAUCGCAUGGCCUUGUGCCGGCGAUGGUUCAUUCAAAUUUCUUCCCUAUCAACUUUCGAUGUUUGGGUAUUGGCCAAACAUGGUUGCAACGGGUAACGGAGGGUUAGGGCUCGACCCCGGAGAAGGAGCCUGAGAAACGGCUACUACAUCCAAGGAAGGCAGCAGGCGCGCAAAUUACCCAAUCCCGACACGGGGAGGUAGUGACAAUAAAUACUGAUACAGGGCUCUUUUGGGUCUUGUAAUUGGAAUGAGUACAAUUUAAAUCCCUUAACGAGGAACAAUUGGAGGGCAAGUCUGGUGCCAGCAGCCGCGGUAAUUCCAGCUCCAAUAGCGUAUAUUAAAGUUGUUGUGGUUAAAAAGCUCGUAGUUGAACCUUGGGCCUGGCUGGCCGGUCCGCCUCACCGCGUGUACUGGUCCGGCCGGGCCUUUCCCUCUGUGGAACCCCAUGCCCUUCACUGGGUGUGGCGGGGAAACAGGACUUUUACUGUGAAAAAAUUAGAGUGCUCCAUGCAGGCCUAUGCUCGAAUACAUUAGCAUGGAAUAAUAGAAUAGGACGUGUGGUUCUAUU
rnacentral:rRNA from 1 species